rnacentral:rRNA from 1 species
AAUAUUUCACAAUGGGCGAAAGCCUGAUGCAGCAACGCCCCGUGAGUGAGGAAGGCCUUCGGGUCGUAAAGCUCUUUGAUCAGGGAUGAUAAUGACAGUUCCGGAAAAACAAGCCACGGCUAACUACGUGCCAGAGACCGCGGUAAUACGUAGGUGGCGAGCGUUGUCCGGAAUUACAGGGCGUAAAGGAUGCGUAGGUGGAUACUUAAGUGGGAUGUGAAAUCACAGGGCUCAACCCGGGAACUGCAUUCCAAACUGGGUAUCUAGAGUGCAGGAGAGGAAAGCGGAAUUCCUAGUGUAGCGGUGAAAUGCGUAGAUAUUAGGAGGAACACCAGUGGCGAAGGCGGCUUUCUGGACUGUAACUGACACUGAGGCAUGAAAGCGUGGGUAGCAAACAGG